ACGUUGAAGCACUGGUUCCCGUACGAUCACCGAAGUUAAGCAACGUCGAGUCUGGUCAGUACGUAGAUGGGUAAUUGCUUGGGAAUACCUGGUGC